AGAGUUUGAUCCUGGCUCAGGAUGAACGCUAGCGGCAGGCUUAAUACAUGCAAGUCGAACGGGAUUCGGGGUAGCAAUACUUUGAUGAGAGUGGCGCACGGGUGCGUAACGCGUAUGCAACCUACCUUUAACAGGGGAAUAGCCCCGAGAAAUCGGGAUUAAUACUCCGUAACAUUGCGGUGUGGCAUCACACUGCAAUUAAAGAUUUAUCGGUUAAAGAUGGGCAUGCGUGACAUUAGCUAGUUGGUGAGGUAACGGCUCACCAAGGCAACGAUGUCUAGGGGUCCUGAGAGGGUUAUCCCCCACACUGGUACUGAGACACGGACCAGACUCCUACGGGAGGCAGCAGUAAGGAAUAUUGGUCAAUGGGCGCAAGCCUGAACCAGCCAUGCCGCGUGCAGGAAGACGGCCCUAUGGGUUGUAAACUGCUUUUAUCAGGGAAUAAACCCCCGCUCGUGAGCGGGGCUGAAGGUACCUGAAGAAUAAGCAUCGGCUAACUCCGUGCCAGCAGCCGCGGUAAUACGGAGGAUGCAAGCGUUAUCCGGAUUCAUUGGGUUUAAAGGGUGCGCAGGCGGAUUGGUAAGUCAGGGGUGAAAUCCCACAGCUCAACUGUGGAACUGCCUUUGAUACUGUCAGUCUAGAGUAUAGUUGAAGUUGGCGGAAUGUGUCAUGUAGCGGUGAAAUGCUUAGAUAUGACACAGAACACCGAUCGCGAAGGCAGCUAGCUAAGCUAUAACUGACGCUCAUGCACGAAAGCGUGGGGAUCAAACAGGAUUAGAUACCCUGGUAGUCCACGCUGUAAACGAUGAUUACUCGAUGUUGGCGAUACACAGUCAGCGUCUGAGCGAAAGCAAUAAAGUAAUCCACCUGGGGAGUACGAUCGCAAGAUUGAAACUCAAAGGAAUUGACGGGG
rnacentral:rRNA from 1 species